GAUGAACGCUGGCGGCGUGCCUAAUACAUGCAAGUCGAGCGAACAGACGGGGAGCUUGCUCCUCUGACGUUAGCGGCGGACGGGUGAGUAACACGUGGAUAACCUACCUAUAAGACUGGGAUAACUUCGGGAAACCGGAGCUAAUACCGGAUAAUAUAUUGAACCGCAUGGUUCAAUAGUGAAAGACGGUUUUGCUGUCACUUAUAGAUGGAUCCGCGCCGCAUUAGCUAGUUGGUAAGGUAACGGCUUACCAAGGCAACGAUGCGUAGCCGACCUGAGAGAGUGAUCGGCCACACUGGAACUGAGACACGGUCCAGACUCCUACGGGAGGCAGCAGUAGGGAAUCUUCCGCAAUGGGCGAAAGCCUGACGGAGCAACGCCGCGUGAGUGAUGAAGGUCUUCGGAUCGUAAAACUCUGUUAUUAGGGAAGAACAAAUGUGUAAGUAACUAUGCACGUCUUGACGGUACCUAAUCAGAAAGCCACGGCUAACUACGU
rnacentral:rRNA from 1 species